GUGAACUCGAAGAGUAGGGCGGGACACGUGGUAUCCUGUCUGAAUAUGGGGGGACCAUCCUCCAAGGCUAAAUACUCCUGACUGACCGAUAGUGAACCAGUACCGUGAGGGAAAGGCGAAAAGAACCCCGGCGAGGGGAGUGAAAAAGAACCUGAAACCGUGUACGUACAAGCAGUGGGAGCACCUUCGGGUGUGACUGCGUACCUUUUGUAUAAUGGGUCAGCGACUUAUAUUCUGUAGCAAGGUUAACCGUAUAGGGGAGCCGCAGGGAAACCGAGUCUUAACUGGGCGUUAAGUUGCAGGGUAUAGACCCGAAACCCGGUGAUCUAGCCAUGGGCAGGUUGAAGGUUGGGUAACACUAACUGGAGGACCGAACCGACUAAUGUUGAAAAAUUAGCGGAUGACUUGUGGCUGGGGGUGAAAGGCCAAUCAAACCGGGAGAUAGCUGGUUCUCCCCGAAAGCUAUUUAGGUAGCGCCUCGUGAACUCAUCUUCGGGGGUAGAGCACUGUUUCGGCUAGGGGGUCAUCCCGACUUACCAACCCGAUGCAAACUACGAAUACCGAAGAAUGUUAUCACGGGAGACACACGGCGGGUGCUAACGUCCGUCGUGAAGAGGGAAACAACCCAGACCGCCAGCUAAGGUCCCAAAGUCAUGGUUAAGUGGGAAACGAUGUGGGAAGGCACAGACAGCCAGGAUGUUGGCUUAGAAGCAGCCAUCAUUUAAAGAAAGCGUAAUAGCUCACUGGUCGAGUCGGCCUGCGCGGAAGAUGUAACGGGGCUAAACCAUGCACCGAAGCUGCGGCAGCGACACUAUGUGUUGUUGGGUAGGGGAGCGUUCUGUAAGCCUGCGAAGGUGUGCUGUGAGGCAUGCUGGAGGUAUCAGAAGUGCGAAUGCUGACAUAAGUAACGAUAAAGCGGGUGAAAAGCCCGCUCGCCGGAAGACCAAGGGUUCCUGUCCAACGUUAAUCGGGGCAGGGUGAGUCGACCCCUAAGGCGAGGCCGAAAGGCGUAGUCGAUGGGAAACAGGUUAAUAUUCCUGUACUUGGUGUUACUGCGAAGGGGGGACGGAGAAGGCUAUGUUAGCCGGGCGACGGUUGUCCCGGUUUAAGCAUGUAGGCUGGUUAUCCAGGCAAAUCCGGAUAAUCAAGGCUGAGGUGUGAUGACGAGGCACUACGGUGCUGAAGUAACAAAUGCCCUGCUUCCAGGAAAAGCCUCUAAGCAUCAGGUAACAUCAAAUCGUACCCCAAACCGACACAGGUGGUCAGGUAGAGAAUACCAAGGCGCUUGAGAGAACUCGGGUGAAGGAACUAGGCAAAAUGGUGCCGUAACUUCGGGAGAAGGCACGCUGGUGUGUAGGUGAAGUCCCUGCGGAUGGAGCUGAGACCAGUCGAAGAUACCAGCUGGCUGCAACUGUUUAUUAAAAACACAGCACUGUGCAAACACGAAAGUGGACGUAUACGGUGUGACGCCUGCCCGGUGCCGGAAGGUUAAUUGAUGGGGUUAUCCGUAAGGAGAAGCUCUUGAUCGAAGCCCCGGUAAACGGCGGCCGUAACUAUAACGGUCCUAAGGUAGCGAAAUUCCUUGUCGGGUAAGUUCCGACCUGCACGAAUGGCGUAAUGAUGGCCAGGCUGUCUCCACCCGAGACUCAGUGAAAUUGAACUCGCUGUGAAGAUGCAGUGUACCCGCGGCAAGACGGAAAGACCCCGUGAACCUUUACUAUAGCUUGACACUGAACAUUGAGCCUUGAUGUGUAGGAUAGGUGGGAGGCUUUGAAGCGUGGACGCCAGUCUGCGUGGAGCCAACCUUGAAAUACCACCCUUUAAUGUUUGAUGUUCUAACGUUGGCCCCUGACCGGGGUUGCGGACAGUGUCUGGUGGGUAGUUUGACUGGGGCGGUCUCCUCCCAAAGCGUAACGGAGGAGCACGAAGGUUAGCUAAUCCUGGUCGGACAUCAGGAGGUUAGUGCAAUGGCAUAAGCUAGCUUGACUGCGAGCGUGACGGCGCGAGCAGGUGCGAAAGCAGGUCAUAGUGAUCCGGUGGUUCUGAAUGGAAGGGCCAUCGCUCAACGGAUAAAAGGUACUCCGGGGAUAACAGGCUGAUACCGCCCAAGAGUUCAUAUCGACGGCGGUGUUUGGCACCUCGAUGUCGGCUCAUCACAUCCUGGGGCUGAAGUAGGUCCCAAGGGUAUGGCUGUUCGCCAUUUAAAGUGGUACGCGAGCUGGGUUUAGAACGUCGUGAGACAGUUCGGUCCCUAUCUGCCGUGGGCGCUGGAGAAUUGAGGGGGGCUGCUCCUAGUACGAGAGGACCGGAGUGGACGCAUCACUGGUGUUCGGGUUGUCAUGCCAAUGGCACUGCCCGGUAGCUAAAUGCGGAAGAGAUAAGUGCUGAAAGCAUCUAAGCACGAAACUUGCCCCGAGAUGAGUUCUCCCUGAGACU
rnacentral:rRNA from 1 species